UACAGAGGGUGCGAGCGUUACUCGGACUUACUGGGCGUAAAGCGCGCGUAGGCGGCUUUGCAAGUCGGGUGUGAAAUCCCCAGGCUCAACCUGGGAACUGCAUUCGAGACUGCAUUGCUAGAGUAUGGGAGAGGGAAGUGGAAUUUCAGGUGUAGCGGUGAAAUGCGUAGAUAUCUGAAGGAACAUCAGUGGCGAAAGCGACUUCCUGGACCAAUACUGACGCUCAUGUGCGAAAGCGUGGGGAGCGAACAGG
rnacentral:rRNA from 1 species